UUGCAAGUAUAGUUUAACAAAACCUCUCGCUUACACCGAAAAUUUAUCUGUGAAAAUCAGAUUACUUUGAGCCAAAAAUUAAGCCUACUCAUUUUUUAUAAAAACUAUACCCGACUAAACCACAAUAAAACAUUUUAACAGUUUAGUAAAGGCGAUUAAAAAACUUUCUAGCGCUUUACUUUUAGUACCGUAAGGGAAAAAUGAAAUAGUCUUGAAAUAGUCUUUAAGCAACAAACAGCAGAGACUUUUACUCGUACCUUUUGCAUCAUGGUUUAGCUAGUCUUCUUCAAGCAAAGCGAAACAUCAGUUUGACCCCCCGAAACUAAACGAGCUACUUCAAAACAGCUUAUAGAGCCAACCCGUCUCUGUUGCAAAAGAGUGGGAUGAUUUUUAAGUAGAGGUGAAAAGCCUACCGAGCUUAGAGAUAGCUGGUUAUUCAGGAAAAGAAUUUUAGUUCUACCUUAAGUUUCCCGUUAAUUCAAAAAAAUUUUUAAACUUAAGAGCUAUUCAAAUAAGGCACAGCUUAUUUGAAAAAGGAUACAACCUAUAAAAAAGGGUAAAAAAAUUUACACAUGUUAAGUGGGCCUAAAAGCAGCCACCUUUAAGAAAGCGUUAAAGCUCCUCUCUAUUCUCCCAACCAAUCCCCAAAUACACCUUUAACCCUUUACCCCUACUGAAUGAUUCUAUACCAAUAUAGAAACCCCCCUGCUAAAACUAGUAAUAAGAAAUUGAUUUUUCUCCAAAAUAUAAAUAUAAGCCAAAAUGGACAAACCAUUGGUUAUUAACGUCAAUAAGAUCAUAUAGUAACUUCACCAGAAAACACUAUUAACCUAUACGUUAACCUUACACAAGAAUAUUUCUGGAAAGAUUUAAAAAAAGAGAAGGAACUCGGCAAACCAUAACCCCGCCUGUUUACCAAAAACAUCGCCUCUUGAAAAGUUAUAAGAGGUCCAGCCUGCCCAGUGAUAUAUUUAACGGCCGCGGUACCCUGACCGUGCAAAGGUAGCAUAAUCACUUGUUCUCUAAAUAGGGACUAGUAUCAACGGCAUCACGAGGGUUAUACUGUCUCCUCUUUUUAAUCAGUGAAACUGACCUCCCCGUGAAGAGGCGGGGAUAGUCAUACAAGACGAGAAGACCCCAUGGAGCUUCAAACUCAAUAGCAGCCCACACUAAAUUUUAUCUAAAUAAUGAAAAAGCAAUGUUUAUUGGUUUUGGGUUGGGGUGACCACGGAGAAAAACUAAACCUCCACGAUGAAUGGACCUUAAUCCCAAUCUGCGAGCUACUACUCCAAGAAUCAAUAAUUUGACAUAAUAUGAUCCGGCAACCGAUCAACGAACCAAGUUACCCUGGGGAUAACAGCGCAAUCCAUUUCAAGAGCUCCUAUCGACAAAUGGGUUUACGACCUCGAUGUUGGAUCAGGGUAUCCUAGUGGUGCAGCCGCUACUAAAGGUU
rnacentral:rRNA from 1 species